GAUGAACGCUGGCGGCGUGCCUAAUACAUGCAAGUCGAGCGAACGGACGAGAAGCUUGCUUCUCUGAUGUUAGCGGCGGACGGGUGAGUAACACGUGGAUAACCUACCUAUAAGACUGGGAUAACUUCGGGAAACCGUAGCUAAUACCGGAUAAUAUUUUGAACCGCAUGGUUCAAAAGUGAAAGACGGUCUUGCUGUCACUUCUAGAUGGAUCCGCGCUGCAUUAGCUAGUUGUUAAGGUAACGGCUUACCAAGGCAACGAUGCAUAGCCGACCUGAGAGGGUGAUCGCCCACAUGGGAACGGAGACGCGGUCCAGGCUACUACGGGAGGCAGCAGUAGGGAAUCGGCCGCAGUGGGCGGAAGCCUGACGGAGCAACGGCGCGUGAGUGAUGAAGGUCUUCGGAUCGUAAUACUCGGUUAUGAGGGAAGAACAUAUGUGGAAGUAGCUGUGCACAUCUUGACGGUACCGAGUCAGAAAGCCACGGCUAACUACGUG
rnacentral:rRNA from 1 species